rnacentral:lncRNA from 1 species
ACGACUCAAAACAACACAAAGACCAAGGGAGCCCAAUCUCUAGGGCCAUUCUCUUGUUUCUCUCAAAACUGAAGAUCAAAGCAGAGACGGCUCAGCAGGGAAGUCGGCUGGUCUGAAAGCCAUUCAUCUCUGAUAAUUCCUUAGACCAGGACGAGAAAGGGCAGGGGGAAAGUGCUUGUCAUCAAAAGCACCUCCUACAAAACUCUUUGGAUCUUUGGACACUGCUGGGCUAGAGUCUGAGGACCCCUGGCGCGGUGACAGCCAAGACUGGCAUUCCUACACGCUGGCUUCAAACGCUCUGCUGCUACUGGCUUUGAACUCUGGAUCUUUUUGCCUUUCCUCCCAGGGGUUGGGGUGAUACUGCCAUGCCCGUGCUGGACGUGCAGCAUUGUCUUGAAAAAUGAUCCCCCGACUCUUGUCUCCCUCAGGACAGUCUUCCGUGUUUCACAUCACAACUGUGGGGAAGGAAGCCGGCCAGGCAUGGGGAAACUCCGCCUCUGCCCUCCAAGUCACUUCCGCGCAGAAGCCAACCAGGGGACCCCGCAAACGGCCAGCAGAGGUCCCCAGACCUGNNNNNNNNNNC